AGGCUCGUGCUUGUGUGGCAAGCCCUUUGUCAGCUCAGCCGUUUUCCUGGGCCCCACUGUCCCCAUUUUGUAGGGCCCCACUUUGCCUUCUGCCAUCAGAUCUGCAAACAGCACACAACAGAGUGAGCCCAUGCUACAGAGUGAGCCAGUCUGCGGGCUGAACCCAGGUCCUUGGUCACAGGGCAAGCCAAGGCCCGUAGCAAGGCUGGUAGUGAUGGCAGUGCCUUGCAUGCAUCUAGAGGGUCACAGUGGGGGGUUCCUGGAGCUUGCAGCUGGCUCUGAAGUGAGGGAGCCCCCUGGGGUUGGGCUCUUAGCCUAUGGAAUCCAAUAUUAAUCCCAGGAGGCUAGAGUCACAGCCGAACUGAUGCUGGGUGCCCACUGGUGUUGGACAGAAAUUGCAUCUUGCAAUGAAGCUGAAGUGGAGCAUACCUACGUGACCACUCUGGUAGCCCCUGACCUGCGGAAAAUGUCCUCAAGGAGAGCUAAGUUGGGAUACGAGUCUGUCAAGCAAGGGCAACCUGUAGAACAGCAUCUGCCACCUGCUCUGUGUGUGUGUGUGUGUGUGACACCUUCGCCCCUGCUCCUAGGCAGCUUUCAGGAUAGUAAACCGACUUCCGUUCUCCCCAGGGGAGUUCAGGUCUGAUGCCUGGGGCUGCCCUUGCCCAAGCACACACCACAAGCAUCUGACUUCACUGCUGAACAAACAAGUGUCUGGGUCCCCCACGUCCCCACCCCUCACUGUGACCUCCUCACCCCCUCACUCUUAGCUACGAACAUUCCUUAGAAGUUCGGUCUUUCCACAGGCAGCGGCUGGAGUGUUGCACGGGGGAGAGUCUGCACAGUUCCUUUCCCACAGUUCUGUGCAGGAGUCUGAUGAGCUCUGGUUCAGCCCAGAGGUGGCUGCAGAGCUCUGGGACCCAGGUAGCUUGUUAUUACUUUAAAUAGGAGCAGGGCCCAGGGGUAGCCUUUUGUUUUUUUUCCUUGGGUGGCGAUGGACAUUCAUUCUGACUUCUGUCACAUACUUCCCCGUAACACACGGGAACACGGGUUGUUGGCCCCACGCACAAGACAGCUGCCAGCCCGCAGGAAGCCUCACGAUGCCUCUCACUGCCUGCAGGGGGCUAACUCGAUUCUCUAAUGAAGUGCAAGUAAUAACAUCCCCGGCUCUGUUCCCAUCAGCAACGAUCCAGGAUGCGGUGAGAGCGUCAGAUUCAGCGUCCCCUGUUCCACUCAGCAGCAUCUGUGGUCAGUGUACCCACGGUGUAAGAGUCCCCCCCCCCCAGGUUCCCUUUGAGGUCCCUGGCUGUCACAAGAGGUGUAGUGCGGACACCAUUUCUGGACUGGAAAUAUAUUAGUACGCAGUGUGUUCAGCUUAAUGCAGUUCAAACCUCUUCUCUCGUCUCCAUUACCCACAUCCAUAAACGAACCAAGGACUCGCAACCCAGAGUCCUGCCCUUCUCUGGAUUUGGGGCUCUGGAAGAGGAAGUGGGUACAGCUUCCCCAUCAUAGCAGCAGGCUGAAGGAGGAGGCAAGGCCCCAACCGCAGCCCUAAAAAUCCUCCUGGGCUCUGAUGGGGAGUUAAACCCAGAUGGUAUCCCACAUCUACAUCAGAGAGUGACACUGAAGUGGCCUUAGUCGAGGUCAGAGGCAGAGGACAGCAACCUUCAACACCCAUGUGUGAUAGCCACUCCUAGCCAGAGGGAGGGAAACAUCUGGAAGGCCAUCUCCCUGCAUUCUCGCUCAGAGACCCCAAGGAGGGAAUGCAGCUCACUCCCACACACCCGCGCCCGUCGCUCCCUUCCUCCGGAAACGCUCUAACCCCUGGACUUGCUGCAGCCAUGGAAGGCUAUAAGCACAACUGCAUAGGAAUGCUUGGAGGGGCCUCAGGGACAUCUGCUCAUGGAGGUUACAGUAAUCCUGAGAUACAAGGUUUGGGGGACAGACUUCUGCCUGUCGUGUUCCGCAUUCCCAGGGGGGCCAAGGAUGACUUCAGUUUCUGUUUAUCUGGAGACUGGCAGUUGCUCUGUGGAAUGUGACUUCUAAGUGUCAAGGAGUGAGGUGGCCCAGGGAAACAAAGGGCUUGAGCGGAUGACUGACAGGUACACAUGGCCCUGAUGCUGUUACCGGGAGCAGUGGCUACUUGGUGCACCGUGCCCUAGAGAGGUCAACCAAGGUGUCUGCGGCUCACCACUACAGCAAGGAGUAGCUCCGCUUUGUGUCUUCUAAUACCCAAUGGGCUCUGGGAAAGGACAAGUGGCAGCCUGCAGGAAGAUCCUUCCAGGAGCUUCUUGUCUCCAUCACAGGGCUGAGGCUUAGGACUGGUGAGGCACUCACAUGUCCCCCAGGAAUGGAAGGAGAGAGAGGCACGCAUGGAAAGACUUCCACCUGGGCAGCUGCGUUCUCACUUCACGCUUUCCGCAGACUUGAGCUCCAUGCUGGAGCACAAAAGCCCCGUCGAGCAGCGUCGGGGUGCCGAGCAUGGCCUCUGCCUGGCUAGCACACUUCACUGACAGCUAACGCAGUGGCGUGUUAGCUUAGUCACCCAGACGGCGGCAUCUCAAGCAGGAUCUCGAGGAAGCAGAGGAAGAAGCUCCCAUGCCCAAUCCCCACGAGUCAAUGCCACCUUACAGCGACAAAAAUAAAAUUGGAAGAAUUUUCCUCAGUGGCAA